AUCUGUUUCUGUCAUAAAUCCUCUGUCACUGAGUCAGGUCUGUAGGACAGACCUCCACAGGUGGUGAUCGAUGUCUCAACCUUUGAAAGUUUUUGAGUUUUUGGCCAGACUGUAGAAUGCUCA